GCAGUGGUAGUUCAGAGGUAGAAUUCUCAUUUUCUGUGUGGGAGACCUGGAUUUGAUUCCUGGACAAUGCA
rnacentral:tRNA from 1 species